CCUACGGGAGGCAGCAGUGAGGAAUAUUGGUCAAUGGCCGGAAGGCUGAACCAGCCAAGCCGCGUGAAGGACGAAGGUGCCAAGCAUUGUAAACUUCUUUUGUCAAGGGACAAAAUCAGGCUCGAGAGCCUGACCGCGGGUACUUUAAGAAACAGCAUCGGCUAACUCCGUGCCAGCAGCCGCGGUAAUACGGGGGAUGCGAGCGUUAUCCGGAUUUAUUUGGUUUAACGGGUGCGUAGGCGGACUGUUAAGUCAGCGGUAAAAGCCCGGGGCUCAACCCCGGCGAGCCGUUGAAACUGGCUGGCUUGAGAUGUCGAGAGGUAUGCGGAAUGCGCAGUGUAGCGGUGAAAUGCGUAGAUAUUGCGCAGAACUCCGAGUGCGAAGGCAGCAUACCGGCGGCGAUCUGACGCUGAGGCACGAAAGCGUGGGUAUCGAACAGGAUUAGAUACCCUUGUAGUC
rnacentral:rRNA from 1 species